rnacentral:rRNA from 1 species
AUGGAGCAGCUGCUGGGAGCUCAGCAGCACCAUUCCUCCCUGUCCCCGAGGACCCCGACCCGGCCGCACCUCCAGCACGCCGCCUCCAACCGGUUCCGGGAUCACCACCACCCGCAGCAGCCCCACGCCGGCCUCAAGAUCCUCCGCGUCACCCCGCCCUUCUUCCUCCUCCUCCUCGCCGCCGUCUACCUCCUCGCCUCCGCCACCAUCCUCUCCGCGCCGGCGCCCUCGCUCCGCGCCUCCACCAAGAAGCCCGACAGGCUCGUCGUCCCAGUGCCCGCGCCGGUGCCCCCCUCGCGGCCGCCUUCCCCGGAGCUGCUCGAGCUCGACAACGGCAGGAUUCGGGCCAGGAUCAGCAAUGUCGGCGCCGCCGUCACCUCGCUGCUUGUCCCGGACAAGAACGGGGUUCUUGCUGAUGUGGUGCUUGGAUUCGACUCCCUGGAUCCGUAUCUGAAUGGCACCUCGCCUUACUUUGGCUGCAUUGUUGGGCGAGUUGCAAAUAGAAUCAAGGAUGGAAAGUUUACUUUAAAUGGCGUGCAAUAUAGUUUGGGCAUCAACAACCCACCUAACACUCUUCAUGGUGGAUUUAAAGGGUUUGAUAAAGUCAUAUGGGAAGUCACUGAAUAUAACAAAGGGAAGACCCCAUCAAUCACCUUAAAAUAUUAUAGUAAAGAUGGAGAGGAAGGUUUCCCAGGUGAUGUUUCUGUUACUGCCAGAUAUUCUCUUCCAUCAAGCAUGGAGUUGAAGCUAGAGAUGGAGGCUGCACCUUUGAACAAGGCCACACCAAUCAGUUUAGCACAACACACCUACUGGAACCUGGCAGGCCACAACUCUGGAGAUGUUCUUGCACAUUCUAUCCAGAUAAGGGGAUCUCAGAUAACUCCAGUAGAUCAAAUUUCAAUACCCACAGGCGAGUUUAUGCAAGUGAGUGGCACGCCAUUUGAUUUUCUGACUGAGGGUGAGAUUGGUGAUAGGAUUGGCCAAGUCCCUGGUGGUUAUGAUCACAACUAUGUGCUUGAUGAUUCUCGCGAAGUGAAGUCAGGCUUGCGGCACGUGGCUAAGGUGACAGAUCCGUCAAGCUUUAGGGUCCUAAACAUUUGGGGGGAUGCUCCUGGAGUGCAAUUCUACACUGGUAAUUUCCUUGCUGGCAUUGUGGGGAAAGGAGGUGCAGUCUAUGGGAAGCACGCAGGUCUCUGCCUUGAGACGCAGGGUUUCCCAAAUGCGGUCAACCAACCUAAUUUUCCAUCAGUGAUUGUUCAUCCUGGUGAGAAGUACAUGCAUACAAUGCUGUUUGAGUUCUCCACCAAGUGA